CAUCCAGGGAGCACAGUCUACCUUGCAAUAUUUCAGUGCUUCCUUUGGGAAGGAACAAAGCAUGAUCUAAAAAAUAUGGGAAGAGCUGUGAGUGUGUGAAAUCAAAGUUGUCUACAUGUUUGGGCCCCGGGCAGUGUUUUUCACUUCCAUUACUGACUCUUAUAGGCAAAUCCAUUUCUUAUAUGUCAUUCUGAGUUCAAUAGAGCUUGUUGUCAUGGAUGUAUAAGAUGGUGGCAGUACAAUCCUAGGGAUAAUUACUCAGAAGCAAGACCCCACUGGCCUCUGUGGGACUUAUUCCCUGAUAAGUGUGUAUAGCAUCUCUCAUUUUGAGGGGAAAGUUGAACCAAUUCAACAAUCCAAUUCAAACGUUGACCUCUAGUGUAUCUACCUUCUAGUGAAAUAAAAUUAUACAAAUAAGCAUUGUCACCUUUUCUCAAGGCACAGAAAAAGGCUAUAUCAGGGGAUGGAAUUGGCAACCUUACCGAGGAGCUCAGCCAACUCAUGUCACUACAAUAAAAAAGAAAAGAGCAAAAAGACAACACAAUGGCGUGCUUCAGUGGAGGCUGGUUGUUUAGGGUAAAUGGAGUAGUGCCCCUCCAACCUCUACCCUCAGGCAGUGGGCACCCGGUGGAGUUGGAGGCAGCAGCUGACAAGUGCAGGAGGCAAUGAGUGGCAUGCUUUUCAGAGGCUGGAUCUGCUCCCCUCCCAGCUGCCUGGAGCCUGCUGCCCUGCAGCCACUGCCUUACCUUGCCUCAUAGGUGGACCGGCCCUGCAUAGAUUGUGGUCUCAUUGCAGUUGUAUCCUAGAUGUUGCACUUAGUUUCCCUCCAUAAGACUAAACUGUAGCCACUCCCUUUAUGAGAGAAAGGAUUUUCAUAUACAGUGGUACCUCGGGUUGCAUACGCUUCAGGUUACAGACUCUGCUAACCCAGAAAUAUUACCUCGGAUUAAGAGCUUUGCUUCAGGAUGAGAACAGAAAUUGUGCUCUGGUGGCGCGGCGGCAGCAGGAGGCCCCAUUAGCUAAAGUGGUGCUUCAGGUUAAGAACAGUUUCAGGUUAAGUAUGGACCUCCAGAACGAAUUAAGUACUUAACCUGAGGUACCACUGUAGAUUCCAAGGAUUUACUUCUUUCUCCUAGUGCCUAUAUGUUUUGGAGAGUUUAGGGCAACCUUUCUCAACCCUGGGUCCCAUCAUUCCUAGCCAGCUUGGCCAGUGGUCAGGGGUGUUGGGAGUUUUAGUUCAAAAACAGCUGAGGAUCCAAGGCUGAGAAAGGCUGGUUUACGGUUUCCCACCCCUGCUGGAAUCAAGCCAAUUGCACUGCAUUUACUUUGCCCCUGAAACUGAAUGGGAAACCACUCCUCCCAACAUAAAGUCAUCUUGCGCUCUCUUUUUUUAUUGUGCUCUGGUAUAAAAAAUAAUGAUACGUGAUAAAUCAGAGUGCUCUUUUUUUAAAAAAAAAACCUUAAAUAUGCUUGAGAGGACUGAGACAAAUGUUCAUCAAUGAACAGUUCCAGCUAAAAAGGAUUAGAUUUUUAGGGAUGAAAGAAUUCACAGAGAGUUAAUUCUUUAUCACAGGAAAAGGCAGUGACAGUAUUCUUCCCACUGCUGCCAGACAGUUUCCUCUCCACUGUCCUUUUGAAUCAGAGUGAGGACAAAAAACAUUGACCUACAUUCUGAAUUGGCUUUGUGAUGUUGUCAUGUAGGCAUAUUUGACAGAUGAUGCAAUGGGGCUACACCGCUUACGUCAAAAAGUGAAUUAUAAAUAUAUUUUUAAAUUCUACUUGGUGAGAACUAGAAGAGUUGAGAUAUUUUAAGCUGCAUUGCUUUUGCACCAGGAAGUAACCCUGUUGUACCAAUACAGCUGUAGCCCUAUAGGGGCAAAUCAGUCCAUAUGUUCAGUAGAGGGAAACCAAUUCCAUUAAACUUUUGAACAUGUACCAUUCUUGUAAAUUAGUGUGAAAUUAAAUAAGUAAAAUAUUUUCACUGUGUAUGUGUGGAAUAGUAGCAGAAUCGAGUUACACUAAAUAAUAUUUUUGUCUUUUGCUAACACUUUGUGGAUUAAAAGUCUUUGCAAGCACAAGUUCAUAUGGUUGAGGUGUCCUGUAUCAUAUUUGUGUGAUAUCCUGGGGACGCAUCCUGGGAAAGUUUGCCAGAUAAAGUUUGUGCCUUGUCUGCCUGUAGUGAAUUUUCCAUCCUUUCCUUUCCUUGUGGAGAAAUACUCCUAGAUGAGGAGGUACCUUGGUUUAUAAGUGAAGGAAGAAUGUCUUGGAUGCAGAGCUGUGGAAUGAAACUUAUCCAUGUGGCACUGCAUUCUUCAUUUCAUUGAAGUAACCCCCUUACACUCAGUAGGGCUUGUUUCUAAAUAAGGUGCUUCUUGCUCCCUACACUUUGCAGUUAGAUAGAAGUUUACCAUUGAUUUCAUGUGUCUUUCCCAUUUCCCAUAAUGAUAAAUGUACCUGUGUAUUGACAAAAGGGCAAUAGGAUUCAGAAUGCAGCUAACACAUAAACAGAGUAAAGGCUAAAUAUUUUAUUAAACAGCCCAAAGAAAGCUACAAAGCACUGUCAUUAUCUUACUCCCCUGCAGUGAUAACCUCUGGUGGAUGGAGCUGUGGCUGGCGUGCAGCUCUUUCCAUGGUGCAGCCUACACAAAGGUUCUCACUAACAGAUGUGUUCUUGGGGCUCAUAUACGCUUGGGAUCCAUUCCCAACAAAGAGAGCGCUGGGGUUGCAUAAGCCACAGCUGUUGAAGAUUGUCCCCUAGCAAAUGUCUUUACAAGUGAAGUCCUAAACAUGUCUUCUCUGAGCUCAAGGAGGCUUGCUUCCAAGUAGGUUGGCAUAAUAUUUCAGCUUUAACCAAGAACAAGGGUAAGCCAGCAUGGUGCCUUCUUGAUGUUUCUGGACUCAACUCUGAUCAGCCCCAGCCAGUUUGGCCAGUGGUGAGAAUGAUGGAAGGUAGAUGCAGAAUUAGAUAAACUAACAGGAAAGAUUCGAAACCGGAGAGACCAGAAAUUCACGGAAGACUGGAGUAAAUUAACGGACUAUUUGAAAAGUAAUUGUGAAGAACAGAUGACGUUUGUAGGGUUGCAAGAAGUUUUGUGAGGAGUAUUAUUAGAAGUAUUGUAAAAAUGGAUAAGGGGGAGGAUGAUUGGUUAAGAGAUGUAAAGGCAAUAUAAAGUUAAGAAAUGCAUAAGAAGUGGUUAAAACGGUGGAUCAUCAGAGGUGCUGAUGGAAGUCCAAAAAGAUUGUAUAAGUGAUAAGCUUUGUAAUACAUUUUUUAAUUUAUAUGUCAAAAUUAAUAAAAAAUAUUAUAUAAAAGAGAGAAUGAUGGAAGGUACAGCAACAUCUGUCUGGAGGGCAUCACAAUGGCUACUCCAAGCUAGAACAUAUCUAUGGAAACAUAGUUCAACCAUGCAUUUGAGUUUUAUCAAAUGUGACAGAUGGUACGCUAGGCCUGGCAUUUAUUCUUUCAUGUAGUAUUGAAAAGUUUCCAUUAGCAAGGAAAAUUUGAUAUUAACUGUAACUUUCUUCUGUAUGCUUCUCACUCCUCUCCCCAUCCCAAACCCCUUUUGAGCCAAAUCCCUGAUCUACAAGGCAAAGAGCUAUUAGUAUCAACAUUUAGACUCCUGGAGCACUUGUACAAAUACAGGAGAGUUGCUGUCAGAUCUUAUGUUAUCUUCGCCCCGCAGCACAUGGCAGGCUUACCGGUUAUCACUUGCUUGAGUUAUCUGCAGCUGUUUACUCUGCAGGCUCUGUUUUGUGCCACAGCUGGUCUUUGCCUUGUAAAACACUUUGAUUUGGAAUGAGUAGGCUGGGUGAUCUUGAGCUAGCUAGCUCAUUCUUGGCAGCAACAGCGUGGAGGAGACAACUUUUGGUCUCCCAAAACUGCUUUCAAGGGUAUGAAAUAAAUUUCAAACAUGAUUGGCAGAAACCAGCAAGCUGCUAAAAGUUGAUCAGAAGACAUUGUGCCUUAACAAAGAUCAUCUGGCAAAUGUGUAGCUGUCUCAGAACAUUGUGAACGUACAUCUCAGAAUCUGUUUGCCCAGAACAAAUGUUAUAAUAACAACUUGGUGUGCUGUUUGAACAAGAAAUAAGCCCCUUUAAUUUGUAUAAUCAGAGAUUAGAUGGGGCUGAAUGAGUGGCAUUGUGCUAGUAGAUGCAAGUGCUUAAAAUGACGUCAAGGUGUAUCUAAAGACUGCAUGUCUACAAGCUAUCGAUUAAAAUGCAUUUGAGUGUCUCUCAAACGAUAACAGGAGUAAGAAAGACACAGCCAUUUGGCUUGGACAUGGUACAAGGAUUUGCUUCCACCAGUGCUAAAGGAUGUCCAACCCUUGAUAAGCACUUAUGCCUACUUGUCUACUUUAAUUUAUUGGAAUACUUUAAAUCUCCUCAGUUAUCCUUAGGCUGUCCUGGAAAGGAGGGAAGACGUGAGAAUGAUAACAAGCUGAUAUAGCUGUCUCUCCUGCCAGCAAACCCAAGUUUCUUGGCUGGAGACGGGAAGAGAAAUGUGCAAUGUCAGUGGCAGAAGGGGCUAGAGAUAACCAUUGGUGGUCCUGCAUGGCAAUUAGCCAGAGAGUUAUCAGCAAGCUCAGCAUAAAUCCUUGGGGCCUUUGUUUACACUUGGGCCUGUCGAGAACUUGACUGCACUAACUUUUUGGCAUCCAAGGUUUUUUU